rnacentral:rRNA from 1 species
UACGUAGGGUGCAAGCGUUAAUCGGAAUUACUGGGCGUAAAGCGUGCGCAGGCGGUUUUGUAAGUCUGUCGUGAAAGCCCCGGGCUCAACCUGGGAAUUGCGAUGGAGACUGCAAGGCUUGAAUCUGGCAGAGGGGGGUAGAAUUCCACGUGUAGCAGUGAAAUGCGUAGAGAUGUGGAGGAACACCGAUGGCGAAGGCAGUCCCCUGGGUCAAGAUUGACGCUCAUGCACGAAAGCGUGGGGAGCAAACAGG